rnacentral:rRNA from 1 species
UACGGAGGAUCCGAGCGUUAUCCGGAUUUAUUGGGUUUAAAGGGUGCGUAGGCGGUUCAAUAAGUCAGUGGUGAAAGUUUUCGGCUUAACCGGAAAAUUGCCGUUGAUACUGUUGGGCUUGAAUUUGGUUGCUGUGAGUGGAAUGUGUGGUGUAGCGGUGAAAUGCUUAGAUAUCACACAGAAUAUCGAUUGCGAAGGCAUCUCACAAAGCCAAUAUUGACGCUGAUGCACGAAAGUGUGGGGAUCAAACAGGAUUAGAUACC